rnacentral:rRNA from 1 species
CCUACGGGUGGCAGCAGUGGGGAAUAUUGCACAAUGGGCGCAACCCUGAUGCAGCAACGCCGCGUGAGUGAGGAAGUAUUUCGGUAUGUAAAGCUCUAUCAGCAGGGAAGAAAAUGACAGUAACUGACUAAGAAGCCCCGGCUAACUACGUGCCAGCAGCCGCGGUAAUACGUAGGGGGCAAGCGUUAUCCGGAUUUACUGGGUGUAAAGUGAGCGUAGACGGCUGCGCAAGUCAGAAGUGAAAGCCCGGGGCUCAACCGCGGGACUGCUUUUGAAACUGGCGGGCUGGAGUUGGGGAGAAGACAGCGGAAUGCGCGGUGUAGCGGUGAAAUGCUUAGAUAUAGCGCAGAACCCCGAUUGCGAAGGCAGCGUACCGGCUCCAAACUGACGCUGAGGCACGAAAGCGUGGGUAUCGAACAGGAUUAGAUACCCCGGUAGUC